rnacentral:piRNA from 1 species
UGGAGACGGCACACUGGAAAUCAGAGUGA